CUGGCACAUAUUUUACCAUAUCAUCUGAAAAACUCCUCAUGACGCCAUAGCACCCAUUGAAAUAGAGUGUUUGGAAAAAAAACGAAAUCUUUUGGUCCAGUGUAGAGGGCGUAGUCAGAAGAAAACGGCAACCAAUAGAAGUAAUACUCAUCAUCACUUCUAUUGGUUUCUGACACGUCCAUCAACCGCCAGCACUCACCCCUCCUCCCUGCGCGUUCACCGACUCGUGAACUUGACCGACCCCGCCCCCAUCAUUCAUGCACACGCGACAAGGCUCAUCAUCACUCGGCUAGUAGCAAGGUAACGAGAGUUAGCAGCAUGCUGAGCUACUUGGAAACUUUGGUGGCUUUUGCAGAGCUACAGGAAGAACUUUGGCUUUUGGAACACUAGACUAACCAUGUCAGGUUAACAUACUUGGAUUAUCAUCGGACUCGCAAGACCAGACUCCAACACGGGCUGAAAAUUUGAAAUGGGACCUGACACUCUUGGACACAGAUGUCGGCUACGGCAGCGGCUUCAAAUACGCUUUGGUGACCAUAUUUCUAAUCGAGAGUUGUGCGAACGAGCCAGACAAACCAGCUGGGAGGAGGACGGAAGCACCCCUUCUCCAUCCGCGUUCAGUUGCUAAAUACGGAUCCACCCCGUAGUGUGGUGUUUUCCAUAGCUGUUCCUUGCUCCUGUUUCACAACAUAUCAAGGCUGCCAAGUAAAUGAAGAAUGAAUCACCGCACACUGGUCAACAGCCGACAGGGUCCUUCCACAACCACAUACUUAUGCCAGUAAAAGCCACAGCUUUUCUCCUCCAAUCCAAGAAGCCUGGACUGCAGUCACCAUCUCAACACACCAACCAAGAGAAAGGCGGAUGGCUCAAUUCAAUAUGGAAAAUUGCACAAUAAAAGUUCCAGGACAUGAAGGCUGCAUACUGUGAACGUCAACCUUCAGGGCACCGUCCUGCGCAGAAGACUUUCUACCCUAAGAGGGAUGGCUGACCGCAGACACUCACAACCAGCACAGACGCCUCCAACCUCAAACUAGGCCCUUCACAGUUGCUGCACUUACCCACCUUCCCAGAGUUUUUGUGUGGUAAUGACAACUGUAAAUAUAGUAUAAAGUAAUGUAUCUAGUGUCAUGUGUAAUACAUUGUUUAAAUUGUCCAUACAUUUCAAUGACAGUAAAUAUUGGUGGACACAAUUUGACUGUGUGGCUUUUUUUUUAUUCAUUCUCUGACUGAAAAUGCAUGGUUACAUAAUUUAUAUAUUCCACAAGACCACAAUCAGAAGAACAUUUGACAGGUUGCAUUUAUUUUCUAUGUAUGAAAAAAACAAUGGUAACAAGACAAACGUGGUUCCAAACCAAAAAGGUGAGAUGUACAGAUGAAUGAUCCUACAGAUAAUGAAAAAUAAUAAAAGUCUGCACACUGCCGGUUUGUGUGUUUUAUACCGUACUCUGUAUAAACCUUUUAUAUUGCUCUAGUGGAGCAGGGUAACCCUGGCUAAUCCUGGGUAUUGUACUGUGUAUUACAACGUCAGCCCUGUUCAAGUGCCCCAUACUGUCUGUAGGCUGCAUGCCUGAAGAGACCGUUUCUCUCACCUGGUCCUACAUCAGCCCAAAGUCUUAUCAAAACUGAGAACACCACAGCAUUUCCUUUCAAUGUUCAUGGGCAUCUCCUUACAGAUUGCGCAGAGGCGCCAGGUUGGUUGUGCUACUGGGCUGUGACUGAGGACCAGAUGUCAUGUGCCAGGUCCAACAUCAAACUGGGGUCACGGGUCAGGGC